CAAAAAUGUCAUGACAAAAACUCUACUACUACUACAGAAACCCUAGCCUCCCUCUUUGUCUUCUGCCGUUGUUACCGUUUCAUCAACCUCAAUUUCCUUCUCUCCAUAGACGGGAAUACUUUAGGAAUUGUAAUACUCAAAGAGGUUGCCGGUUUAAUGUACGAGCGCUUAAGGUUGGUAAAGGUACUUGGCUACGAGUGAGGAGACGAUUAGAAUAAUCACUUAGUCAAGAGACAAAUUUCUAUUUCAGUAUAAGUUAGAUUUUGUUUAGUUAUGGGAUUGGUUGUAAUAUUUUAUGGGCCACCUUUUAGACCACUUAGUUAAUUUUUUUACUUUAAUGGUUUUAAAUUGUUUUGUUGCUUUGCAUUUAUUUUCCAUGGAGAAUAAAUGUAGCAGUGACACUCCCAAGGUUUGGACGGUGAUUUUAUGAAAUAAAAACAGGGUUUUUGAUUAUAUAAAAUGUCCAAAUUUUGGGGGUGUUACACUGUAUACUUGCAAAUUCAACUUCUUGGGUAUUAGAUAUAUAGGUUGUGGCUCACACUUAUGUUCCAAUUCACAGGGACUAAGAAGAAUUAGAAGAUUAAGCAAGGGUGAAGUCGACCUACGAGUGGGAAAUGGAGCAAGGAUUGCUGCAUUAGCUGUAGGAACUUAUUAUUUGUUGUUGCCCUAUGGGCUAGUUUUGGAACUGGAAGAAUGUUUCCAUGUUCCAAGUCUUACUAAAAACAUCAUUUAUGUUUCUUGCUUAGAUGCUAAGGGAUUUUCCUUUUUAAUAAAAGAUAAUAGUUGCUCGUUUUAUUUUAAAGAGAUGUUUUAUGGAUC